rnacentral:hammerhead_ribozyme from 1 species
AUCCGGAUGAUGAGUCUCAAAUGAGACAAAAUGUGCAUCCCGGAU